rnacentral:lncRNA from 13 species
AAAAUGUUAAACUAUGAACAUACAUGUAAAAUAACACUCAGAAAUACAAUUGAGGUUUCAUGGUAUGAAAAUUAAAUGACUUAUAAACUAUAAGCUACUGUAGUCUGAAAACUAAAAUGUGUGUGUGUGUGUGUGUGUGUGUGUGUAUCUUGGCUACAAGAUAUAGAUAUAUAAAGCCUCUUUUUAUAUGUAUUGUUAGAUACGUUUAAACUAAAGGGUUAUUUUACCACCUUAGUUUGAAUUGAAUUGAAUAUUGAACAGCAACGUGAGUAUUCACACAACACACACAUAUAUACAUAACACACAUACACAUAUGUCUCCCCUCUCACCUUUCAUGAAUUAAACAGCCAACUGCCUCAGCCUUUCUCCAUUUUCCUUAUUACCUAUUACUAAAAGAAAUCUAACAUCAACAUCUGGUGUUCACUGAGGGCUGUUUGGCACUAGCCAGAGGGAAGGUAGAUGGGUUGUACUGUGUCCUGGGAGAGUUCAGUUUUGUUAGAAGUGGAGACCUUGGAGUGGAAGGGUGGAAGCAGCGCCCAGAGGUGAGUUACACAGGCUUUGAGGACAUGGUGAAGAGAGCACACUCAGGCAACGUGUAGAUCGCUGCCAGUUUAUUCUCUUAAAACAUUUUAAGACAAGGGGAACACUGGAUUUCAAAGGCUCAGGGAACACUUCUCUUUACCCAUUUAGCAGUUUGAGGCUGCCAUUUGUGCACUAGAGAAAUUGUGAAAUUGCAAGUUCCUGUUGUAUUAAUAUUUGACUCUUUUAUAUGUAGUCGUUAAGGUAAAUGUUUAAUAAGCAAUCACAGGUCAGUUAUGGGUGCUGUUUCUGUUUUUUUUCUAUGGAUGUAGUUGUGAGCAGCUCUGGGAGAGGAACAAAGCAUAUGCAGAAGAUUUCAAAACUCAUUUAUUGUGAAACAGAGUGUGAGAUACACUGGAUGCAGAGAAGGUCAAAACUGAAUUGGAAGAUUUUAUCCAACUCUGGCUUCUACAAGUGAGGGGGAGUAAAGACAACCCACGGAAGAAGCUGUCUGAAGGACAUACAGGACCACCAACGGUUUGAAUGUGCCUGCUCCAAAAUUCAGGUAUUGCCAAUGUGAUAGUAUUGAAACAGCCUCGUUACCUGUGGUAUCACCUGGAGUUCUUCAUCACAACUGAAGAAAUCAAGGAAUGUGGACUCCAGGGGUGAAGUUGGAACAGAAGUUUAAUAAAUGAAUGGAAGAGAGAAAACUCUCUGCUGCG